rnacentral:rRNA from 1 species
UCGACCUCGAAUCAGGUA